UCUGCUUCUCCCAACGCUGGGAAAAAAGGCGGGAGAAGCCCCGGCAGGAUUGAAGCUGCUCCU
rnacentral:miRNA from 1 species